CUCCAGGUGGAGGUCUCUCCUGAAGCCAGGGUCUGAGAGGCUAUGGGGCGCCAUCAAGCUUGGGGGACAAGCCCAGAAACUCACAGCCAAAUUUAGGGUCACUUUACUCCUUCCAUGAGCUCCGCCAGUGCCUCAGUUCCCAGUAGCCCCUUUCAUUCCUUUGUUCAAAUAAUGGGCUCCUUGAUCAUUCUGCUCUGCCUCACUCCUGUAUGGCAUCGGCAUUGGUAUUUGGGACUGAGGAGUGGGAAAACAGAGCAGUAUUCUGCCUGCAUGUGUUCCUGUAGGCCAGAAGAGGACACCAGAUCUCACUAUAGAUGGUUGAAUAGAAUUGAACUCAGGACCUUUGGAAGAAUAGCCUGUGCUUUUAACCUCUGAGCCAUCUCUCCAGCCCAAUAAUUGAAAGAUACCAGCUAAGUAUUCAGAGGCAACAUCCAGAGAUGGAACUGGACACAAGAUGCCCAGAAGCCUGAGAUAAAUUUGAAACAUCUUCUACAUGAACACGAUCCUGAAAGGUGAGCUUUCCGGAAGAAUGAAGCGAGCACACCCAUCAUGUUGAUCUCUGACCUCUGUAUACACAUGUGCAUGCACACAAACAUAAAUAAAAGCCAAA